rnacentral:rRNA from 1 species
AAGACCUUACGCUUUUGGAGCGGCCGAUGUCUGAUUAGCUUGUUGGUGAGGUAAAGGCUUACCAAGGCUUCGAUCAGUAGCUGGUCUGAGAGGACGACCAGCCACACUGGGACUGAGACACGGCCCAGACUCCUACGGGAGGCAGCAGUGGGGAAUUUUGGACAAUGGGGGAAACCCUGAUCCAGCCAUGCCGCGUGAGUGUAGAAGGCCUUCGGGCUGUAAAGCUCUUUCAGCCGGAACGAAACGGUUACGAUUAAUACCUGUAACUACUGACGGUACCGGAAGAAGAAGCACCGGCUAACUACGUGCCAGCAGCCGCGGUAAUACGUAGGGUGCGAGCGUUAAUCGGAAUUACUGGGCGUAAAGCGUGCGCAGGUGGUUUUGUAAGUCAGAUGUGAAAUCCCCGGGCUUAACCUGGGAACU